rnacentral:rRNA from 1 species
GCCAGCCCGCUCAGAAACUUAAAGGAAGUUCGACGGGGGCCCGCGACAAGCGGAGGAGCAUGUGGUUAAUUCGAUGAUACGCGAGGAACCUUACCUGGGCUCGAACGUAAGAUGACUGUAGGUGAAAGCUUACAUCUCUUCGGAGCAUUUUACGAGGUGCUGCAUGGUUGUCGUCAGCUCGUGCCGUGAGGUGUCGGGUUAAGUCCCAUAACGAGCGCAACCCUACCUUUAGUUGCCAUCAGGUAAUGCUGGGGACUCUAAAGGAACUGCCUACGCAAGUAGUGAGGAAGGCGGGGAUGACGUCAAAUCAGCACGGCCCUUACGUCCAGGGCUACACACGUGCUACAAUGGCCGAUACAGAGGGCAGCUACCUGGUGACAGGAUGCAAAUCUCCAAAGUCGGUCUCAGUUCGGAUCGGAGUCUGCAACCCGACUCCGUGAAGUUGGAUUCGCUAGUAAUCGCGCAUCAGCCAUGGCGCGGUGAAUACGUUCCCGGGCCUU